rnacentral:lncRNA from 1 species
CCAAGUGUUGCAAAGAAAAUGAAAACCAGGAAAGGCAAGAUUGUGGUUGAGAUGUUGACAGCUAGAACUAGUAGGAAGGCUGCUGCUGUAGGUCCUUUUAAAUCAUGGAGUAAAGUAGAGGUUCAGAAGAGGAAAAUCAGAGAAAGCUUUGAUUUUAAAGAUGAUAUCAAAGACGAUGUCCCAGACAUCUCACCUGCUAAAAGGCAAACUGUUA